AUGUGGCAGUUUUGCAUUCUGUGCCUCUGUGUACUCAUGGCUUCUGUGGCUACAGACCCCACAGUGACUUUGCUGGAGCAAAACCCAAGGUGGCGUCUGGUACCACGUGGUCAAGCUGUGAACCUACGCUGCAUCUUGAAGAAUUCCCAGUAUCCCUGGAUGAGCUGGUAUCAGCAGGAUCUCCAAAAGCAACUACAGUGGCUGUUCACUCUGCGGAGUCCUGGGGACAAAGAGGUCAAAUCUCUUCCCGGUGCUGAUUACCUGGCCACACGGGUCACUGAUACGGAGCUGAGGCUGCAAGUGGCCAACAUGAGCCAGGGCAGAACCUUGUACUGCACCUGCAGUGCAGA